CCCUUAGAUGUUCUGGGCCGCACGCGCGCUACACUGUUUGAUUCAGCGAGUCUUAACCUUGACCGAAAGGUUUGGGUAAUCUUCUAAAGUCAAACGUGAUGGGGAUCGAUCAUUGCAAUUAUUGAUCGUGAACGAGGAAUUCCUAGUAAAUGCAAGUCAUCAGCUUGCGUUGAUUACGUCCCUGCCCUUUGUACCCACCGCCCGUCGCUACUACCGAUUGAAUGGUUUAGUGAGAUCUCCGGAUUGGCUCUGUAGGUCCCGCAAGGGAUUUAUUAGUAGCCAAGAAGCUGCUCAAACUUGAUCAUUUAGAGGAAGUAAAAGUCGUAACA
rnacentral:rRNA from 1 species